GACGUAGGGCGCGAGCGUUGUCCGGAUUUAUUGGGCGUAAAGAGCUCGUAGGCGGCUUGUCGCGUCGACUGUGAAAACCCGCGGCUCAACCGCGGCCUGCAGCCGAUACGGGCAGGCUAGAGUUCGGUAGGGGAGACUGGAAUUCCUGGUGUAGCGGUGAAAUGCGCAGAUAUCGAGAGGAACACCUGCGGCGAAGGCGGGUAGCUGGGCCGACACUGACGCUGAGGCGCGAAAGCCAGGGGAGCGAACGGG
rnacentral:rRNA from 1 species